rnacentral:misc_RNA from 1 species
CAACCGUCAAGCUCUGCUUGGUAUUGGGCCUCUGUCUCCACGUGGGCGGGCCUCAAAGUCAUCAGCGGCUGAGAGAACGGCAUUCUAGCGUAGUAGAAAUUAACUCGCUGGGGGCCGACCUCAGGUAGCUGUCAAACACGCGCCUUCGCGCAAAUCUAA